rnacentral:lncRNA from 12 species
AACCAAAGACUAGGGUCAGGGGAUUGGGUUCGCAAUACAUAGGGAAUAGCUGAGGGCAAAGGUCCAAUCCUGAAGUACUUGACCUUUUAUGACAAAAGCUCUCAGAUCAACUGAUAAUUAGGGCUAGGAAGAGAACUUACUUUGGAAUGUGCUAAUUAACAUAUUCACAGUGCCCAGUUUUCCAGGGUCUGAGGUUUAUGUCUCCAAUUUCAGUUGAUUCAAUUACCACAGUGGCCCGUGGAGAUGGUCAGUGGCGAGUGGUCACUGCAUGUAGUCAUUUGGGAUGGUCAGUGGGUUUGGUCAGUUUGGGUGGUCAGUGGUUUGUGAUCAGUUUGCAUGGUCAGUGCAGUGUGGUCAAUGAGGUGUGAUCACUGGCUGUGGGCAAUGGGUGUGGGGAGUGGUGUGUGGCCAGUGGGUGUGCUCAGUGGGCUGCGGUUAUUGGGCUAAGGUCAGCGGAGGGGGUUUGUGAGUGUGGUCAGCAAGUGUGGUCACUGGCUGCGGUCGGUGGGAGUGGUCAGUGAAUGUGGUCAGUUGGGUGGGGGUUAUCUGCUGGGUGCUCAGGGGGUGUGGUUGUUGGUAUGGUCAGUGGUGGUAGUCAGUGGUGUGAACAGUGGGUGUGGUGGGUGGAUGUGGUCAGUUGAGUGGUCAUUGGGGGUGGUCAGUGGGUGUGGUCAGUGGGGUUUGGGCAUUGGUGUCUUGGCAAUGGGUGUGUUACCUGGGUGUGCUCGGUGGGUCUGUCCCUUUGGGGUGGUGAAUGAGAAGGUGCUUGGCCAAGGCAAAAGGAGGCUCCCUGUGUGCCCUGCUCCCCUCUCCCUGAGCUCCUGAGAGCUCUGCAGCCCCUGCUGCCAUCCCAUCCGCCCAGGCCAGCACAACAGCCCCGGCCUUGGGGCCCUGCAGAGCUGCUCCUGCUCCAGGCCCAGGGCCCAUGCCAGAGCUGGGGCAGCCACGGGGGGGGGGGGGGGGGGGGGGGGGGGGGGGGGGGGGGGGGGGGGGGGGGGG